GAUGAAGAACGUAGCGAAAUGCGAUAAGUAAUGUGAAUUGCAGAAUUCAGUGAAUCAUCGAAUCUUUGAACGCACAUUGCGCCCGACAGUAUUCUGGCGGGCAUGCCUGUUCGAGCGUCAUUUCAACCAUCAAGCCCCGGGCUUGUGUUGGGGACCUGCGGCUGCCGCAGGCCCUGAAAUGCAGUGGCGGGCUCGCUGUCACUCCGAGCGUAGUAGUUACAUCUCGCUCUGGGCGUGCUGCGGGUUCCGGCCGUUAAAAGCCUUAUUUACCCAAGGUUGACCUCGGAUCAGGUAGGAAGACCCGCUGAACUUAAGCAUAUCAAUAAGCGGAGGA
rnacentral:misc_RNA from 1 species